rnacentral:rRNA from 1 species
UACGGAGGGGGCUAGCGUUGUUCGGAAUUACUGGGCGUAAAGCGCACGUAGGCGGCUUUGCAAGUUAGAGGUGAAAGCCCGGGGCUCAACUCCGGAAUUGCCUUUAAAACUGCAUCGCUAGAGUUGUGGAGAGGUAAGUGGAAUUCCGAGUGUAGAGGUGAAAUUCGUAGAUAUUCGCAAGAACACCAGUGGCGAAGGCGGCUCACUGGCCCGGUACUGACGCUGAGGUGCGAAAGCGUGGGGAGCAAACAGG